rnacentral:rRNA from 1 species
AGCGAACGUUAGCGGCAGGCCUAACACAUGCAAGUCGAGCGAGAAAGGGGGCUUCGGCCCUGAGUAAAGCGGCGGACGGGUGAGUAACACGUGGGUAAUGUACCUUCCGGCGGGGGAUAACAAUCCGAAAGGAUUGCUAAUACCGCAUCCGUCGGCGGUCACUGCGGUGACUGCCGGGAAAGGUGGCCACUCCAAGGAAGCUACCACCGGAAGAUCAGCCCGCGUCCCAUCAGCUAGUUGGCGGGGGUAAUGGCCCACCAAGGCAAAGACGGGUAGCUGGUCUGAGAGGAUGAUCAGCCACACUGGAACUGAGACACGGUCCAGACUCCUACGGGAGGCAGCAGUGGGGAAUAUUGGGCAAUGGGCGCAAGCCUGACCCAGCCAUGCCGCGUGAGUGAUGAAGGCC